rnacentral:misc_RNA from 1 species
GUCACUGCGUACGGAGAGGUCAGAAUAUCUUCUGUGUGUGUGCAACCCGAUCUGAUCUCGCACCCUUUCUAGAGGAGUUUGUACCAUAAGGAGAGUACGACCGCCGCGGGAGUUAUACCUCACCGUUGUCCUGCUUUCCUGAAACAACUGACCGGAUGCUCUUCCGGGCCACAGCUCCGAGUUGUAUGAUGUUUCGACCCACGUUGCCGAGCAUGAUGAUCUUCCGUCCGACGAGCGUGAACUUCGUUGCGCAUUGGUUCUGCGGUCACAAGUUCCGUCAUCGCUUCAUGCGCGACAAGCGCUUCCAUCCCUCGCACCAGGCCGCCUGUGACGCUCGCAAUCGCUUCAGCAAGCGACGACACUUCAAGACAAACAGAUGGAACUACACACAGGCGUACAAGGACAUGCCGUAGCGUCUCUGCUGCGAAGGAGGGUCGCCCGCACGCGCGUGAUCAGAGCGUCUUGGUGAGAACAAAAGCUCGAAUAGCGCGUGCGCGCGUUUGUGUCUGUCUGUGCCUGUGUGCGGGGGGCGCGCCUUGGGUGCACACGUGGAGUUCUUCUGCACUGCUGCAGGACAUGAUUCUGAGGUUACGAAGCGCUCGGGGAUCUGGUGGUGGUGGCAGCUGUGAUGCUGUUGUCUUGUCCUUCUCUCACACGUGUUCUCUUCCUUCAGCUUGGCGAGUUGACGAAGGGGGAAAAAAAACGAUGCGGCACGGAUGUGUAGAAUGCGAAGUGCUCGUGGAAUCUUCUUCCUUCUUCGCGGCUGUUGUUUUUCAAAAGCGAAGAUGUGACCAUGUGGACGGACAUGGAUGCGUGCGCCUGCGUCGAGGCGCUUGCGAGCAAUUUGAAGAGGCACGCAGCCAUCGCCGGCACGUGGCGUGCGUUCGUCCUUCUCUCUUUUGCGUGUACGCAUGCUUUCAUGGUCCGCGGCAUCGCAGAAGGCGGCCCCCUCCCCCUCCAGCUUUUAUCCUUCGCUGCCUCCCUCCUCUGUCCCCUCUCGCUGAGUGUACUCUUGGCCACACCGCGAAAAAAAAAAG